AUAUCUCUCUGUACGGGAAGGAUGAGAAGCUUCGACUAAGGUUCGAUUCGAGCGUCAGCGAGAAAGCGUUGCCG
rnacentral:sRNA from 5 species